AUGCUCUACUCCGACUACUUCGCCGACGCUCCACUGCACGGCGACAAAACAUUUUGGCGCCGUUAUCGGAUGAGCCGAAAGCUUUUCCUCAGGAUUGUGAACUCCAUCCGGGAUUUCGACAACUACUUCAAGUGCAAGAAGGAUUGCACCGGAAAACUUGGAUUCACCUCAAUCCAGAAGUGCACGACAACGAUGAGGAUGCUUGCAUACGGAGCUCCCAGUGAUUCACUUGACGACUAUGGGCGCAUGUCCGGGUCCACCACCAUUGAGUGUUUCUACAAGUUCUGUCGGGCAGUGGUGGCAGUGUUUGGACCGCAAUACUUGCGAACACCCAAUGCGGAAGACACUGCUCGGAUCCUAGCACAGAAUGCAACAAGAGGAUUUCCUGGGAUGCUUGGAAGUAUCGACUGCAUGCAUUGGAAAUGGAAGAACUGUCCAUUCGCUUGGCAGGGGAUGUACAAAGGCGCCAAAGACGGUUGCAGUGUGAUACUUGAGGUGGUAGCCACACAUGACCUCUAG
rnacentral:rRNA from 1 species